rnacentral:misc_RNA from 1 species
CCAAACACUUUCCCAAGUUGUAUGGACAAGUUUUAAUGAAAGGUGUCUAGGGUUUUAUAGUGGAAAUUCAUGGGAAAUGGAGGUAAUGAAAGAAAAUUUUCAUGGAGGGAGGAAGAAGAGAGGGUCACGUUUUGAGGAAGAAGAAGAAGAAGAUGACCAGAAUUUUUGGUCCAUUUUGUAUCUUUUAAAUGUUUUAAGAAUGCUUGUUAACUUGUGAUUGGUUGGGAGUAAGAUAAUGACAUCAUGUGAUGUCAUUAUCCCUAAUUUUCUUUAUUUUUCUUUUCUUUUCAUCUCUACUCAUUUUCAAUUUAAUU